UCCGUAGGUGAACCUGCGGAAGGAUCAUUACAGUAGUCACCCAGGUUGCCGCAAGGCCUCCUGGGUAACCUACCACCCUUUGUUUAUUACACUUUGUUGCUUUGGCAAGCCUGCCCUCGGGCUGCUGGCUCCGGCCGGCGAGCGCUUGCCAGAGGACCUAAACUCUGUUUGUCUAUACUGUCUGAGUACUAUAUAAUAGUUAAAACUUUCAACAACGGAUCUCUUGGUUCUGGCAUCGAUGAAGAACGCAGCGAAAUGCGAUAAGUAAUGUGAAUUGCAGAAUUCAGUGAAUCAUCGAAUCUUUGAACGCACAUUGCGCCCCCUGGUAUUCCGGGGGGCAUGCCUGUCCGAGCGUCAUUACAACCCUCAAGCUCAGCUUGGUAUUGGGCCCCGCCGACCCGGCGGGCCCUAAAGUCAGUGGCGGUGCCGUCCGGCUCCGAGCGUAGUAAUUCUUCUCGCUCUGGAGGUCCGGUCGUGUGCUCGCCAGCAACCCCCAAUUUUUUUCAGGUUGACCUCGGAUCAGGUAGGGAUACCCGCUGAACUUAAGCAUAUCAAUAAGCGGAGGA
rnacentral:rRNA from 1 species